UCAAUUCCAUUGAUAAAGCCGAUCACUGUUACACCCGCACAGGGUGUGACUAGCUUUUGCUGUCCUGUGCCAACUUCUUUCGUAGUGUGCGAUCGAUUUGACCGUUAAGUUUUGCACACUUCGCCAAUGAAGCGACAGUGUGUGUUCAAUUCCAUUGAUAAAGCCGAUCACUGUUACACCCGCACAGGGUGUGACUAGCUUUUGCUGUCCUGUGCCAACUUCUUUCGUAGUGUGCGAUCGAUUUGACCGUUAAGAAUUUUUAAUAUUUAAAGAGCCAGAAGAUCGCUGAAUAGGUCAGAAGGACCAAAACAGUACAAGAGAUCGCACCAGCACACAACAGCGUGAACAGGGUCAGUUAAUACCGCUUAGUUAUCCAGUGCCAGUAAGUUUUUUUUCUCACAAAUAAUUGCAAGUCAGUGUUGUAAGCUGUGUUAGAAACAUCUUUUGGUGCACCGUCGAUCAGUAAACAACCAAUGUGAAGCUACAAGUACAAAAGCCUAGAGCGUGUGUAAGAACUUUUGCGGCAACGUUCUCACCAUUUGAAUUGCUGAAAGUGAUCGCGUUUCAGCUGUACAAGUACAAGUGCUGUGAAGUUUGUAAGAACGAUCCUUUAGCGCACCGGUGAUUGCUGAAUUUUUGCGGUGACGUUCUGACCAUUUCUAGGGUAUAGAGUAAUAGUUUCGCACUAUGGCACUCCCAACCAGCGAUGUAUGGCUGCAUUACGUGAAAUCUGAAGGUGGAG